CACACGCUCUCGCUCUCACACCUCACACACACACACACAUUCUCUCUCUCACACACACACACACACACACACACAUUCUCUCUCACACACACACUCUCUCUCACACGUAAAUGAUGUAACUGAACAUAAUAACCUCAUUUAAAUCUUUUAAAUAUAACAAUUAUUGUUUUUAAAGAAAAUUUUACUUCCUAAACUUAGUUAAGUGAUGACUGAAGUAUUGAUUGAACAUGAUAAUGUUAGACAUGUUACACAGAUGUUUAUAGCUGUUUAUUAUAACUGUUAUGAAUGCUAAUUGAGGGUUAUUAUUAGAAAACAUCUGUAUAAUUAAAGUACAGUUGUCUUUAAUGUACAGUUCAUGGCAGGACAACAUACACACACUUUCACAUUCAUUCACACAAUUUAUCCUAGUCAGUCCCCCCACGAGCAGGCAGCCUUGUUCUGGGUUAUUAAAAAGCUUGGUGUGUUUCAUCACUGAGUUACUCACAGCAGUUUCUCCAGUUUACACUCGUGUAUCUUCAGUAGAUCACAGAGCUUCUUCACUCCUGAGUCUCCCAGUUCACACCCACUCAGAUCCAGCUCUCUGAUGUGUGAUGGAUUUGUACAGAGAGCUGAAGCCACAUCAGCACAUGAUGAUUUACCUUUUACACUGUCACAUAGUAGCAGUUUCUCCAGUUUACACUCGUGUAUCUUCAGUAGAUCACAGAGCUUCUUCACUCCUGAGUCUCCCAGUUCACACUCAC